ensembl:snoRNA small nucleolar RNA SNORA67
AUCCAAAGAGAUUUGCUUUCCGAUGGGCAAGUAGUAUCCCUCUCAUGAAAGCAGCACCUUGGAGGAAAAUCUGACAUCUGUGAAAUCUCGGGGGGACAAAGAAUACUUCUUUCUUCAUGUGGUGAGUGCCAUCAACA